GGUUGAUACACCUUGUAUGCCAUUACAGAUAACCAGGGUCAAAGUGUUUCAAACAAGGACUUUAAACAGGCAGCUACUUCUGUGUGGUGAGCCAGUUAUUGAGGAACACAACAGAAUCCCACAAUGAUAAAAAUGAAGGAGAUGCCGUCUAAAUGUGGACUCUCAGCUUUCAGUGCUUCAUUUUUCCAUCAUGCUGUUGUCCUGCUUCUCCUGACAGACUGCUGUGGAGGCGAUACAAUGUCACCGUCCGAACUCAACUCCAAUUCAAGAGCAUCAGCUGAUUCAUCCAGUCGUCGUAUUUCUUACACACAGACUGACUUUCAUAUCUUCACG